rnacentral:lncRNA from 1 species
AUGACCCCCCUCAAGUAUCAUAUAAACGACACAUCACUGCAGGGGACGACUUCCGUCAAUUUAGGCUAUUCUUCAUCUACUGGACACAUAAAUCAAUGGACGGACAUUUGCACUGUAGAUUCAAACUGGUUAUGUGCCAAUGCUAACACAGAUUCCAUUCCAACCUCUCCCAUCACAAUGGGGAAGACCAAAUUGCCAUCAAAGGAUGUCUGACAAGAUUGUGGAUCUGCACAAGACUUGAAUGGGCUACAAGACCAUCAGCAAGAAGCUUGGUGAGAAGGAGUCAACUGUUGGGGCGAUUAUUUGGAAAUCGAAGAAAUGCAAAACAAGCAUCGAUUGGCCUGGGUCUGGAGCUCCGUGCAAGGCCUCGCCUCAUGGGGUAAGGGGUGAUCAUGAGAGAGGUGAGGGAUCAGCCCAGAAAUGCACGGGAUAAGCUUGUUAAAUAGCUUAAUGCAGUUGGUACCUCAGUCACCAAGCAAAACCAUUAGUAACACAUUACACUGCAAUGAACUGAAAUCCUGCAGCACUCACAAGGUCCCCCUGUUCAAGAAGGCACAUGUGCAGUACAGGCCCAUUUAAAGUUUGCCAAAGAACACCUUAAAUGAAUCAGAGUAGGCUUGGGAGAACGUUCUGUGGUCAGAUGAGACCAAAAUUGAGCUUUUUGGCAUUAAUUUGACUCGCCGUGUUUGGAGGGAGAGAAAUGCUGACUAUGACCUCAAGAACACCAUCCCUACAGUCAAGCACGGAGGUGGAAACAUGCUUUGGGGCUGUUUUUCUGUUAAGGGUGCAGGACGACUUCACCGCAUUGAGGGGCAAAUGGACGGGGCCAUGCAAUGUAAAAUCUUGGAUGAGAACCUCCAGAACACUGAAGAUGAGUCAUGGAUGUGUCUUCUAGCUUGACAAUGACCCGAAACAUACCGAGUGGCUCAAGAUGAUGCACAUUAAGGUCAUGGAGGGGCCUAACCAGUCUCCAGACCUCAAUCCAAUAGAAAAUCUGUGGGGGUAGAUUGAUUUACAAAU